rnacentral:rRNA from 1 species
UGCGAGGGCAUACAGUCCUCGCUUUUNUGNACCGUAAGGAGGUACAGGAACAAGGGCUGGGCAAGACCGGUGCCAGCCGCCGCGGUAAUACCGGCAGCCCGAGUGAUGGCCGAUAUUAUUGGGCCUAAAGCGUCCGUAGCCGGCCGGACAAGUCCGUUGGGAAAUCCACGCGCUUAACGCGUGGGCGUCCAGCGGAAACUGUCCGGCUUGGGGCCGGAAGACCCGAGGGGUACGUCCGGGGUAGGAGUGAAAUCCCGUAAUCCUGGACGGACCGCCGGUGGCGAAAGCGCCUCGAGAGGACGGACCCGACGGUGAGGGACGAAAGCUANGGUCUCGAACCGGAUU